AUUGAACGCUGGCGGGGUGCUUUCCACAUGCAAGUCGACCGGAGUUGCGGACUGGUGAGUGAUAGAUCGGAACGUGCCUAGUAGCGGGGGAUAACUACUCGAAAGAGUUGCUAAUACCGAAUACUAUUGGCGCGGCCGAUAUCGGAUUAGCGAGUUGGUGGGGUAAAGGCUCACCAAGGCAACGAUCCGUAGCUGGUUUGCGAGGACGCUCAGCCACACUGGGACUGAGACACGGCCCAUACGCCGACGGGAGGCAGCAGUGGGGAAUUUUGGACAAUGGCGGAAACCCUGAGCCAGCCACCCCGCGUGUAUGAUGAAGGCCGUCGGGUUGGAAAGUACUUUUGGCAGAGAAGCGGUAUCUGCAGAAUAAGCACCGGCUAACUACGUGCCAGCAGCCGCGGUAAUAC
rnacentral:rRNA from 1 species